GCCUCAGUGGGGUAGUGGUAGAGCACGCGUCCCCGCAUAGGAUGAAACGUGGGUUCGAUUCCCGCCUGAGGUC